rnacentral:rRNA from 1 species
GUGGGGAAUAUUGCACAAUGGGCGCAAGCCUGAUGCAGCAACGCCGCGUGAGGGAUGACGGCCUUCGGGUUGUAAACCUCUUUUAGUAGGGAAGAAGCGAAAGUGACGGUACCUGCAGAAAAAGCACCGGCUAACUACGUGCCAGCAGCCGCGGUAAUACGUAGGGUGCAAGCGUUGUCCGGAAUUAUUGGGCGUAAAGAGCUCGUAGGCGGCUUGUCGCGUCUGCUGUGAAAACCCGAGGCUCAACCUCGGGCCUGCAGUGGGUACGGGCAAGCUAGAGUGCGGUAGGGGAGAUUGGAAUUCCUGGUGUAGCGGUGGAAUGCGCAGAUAUCAGGAGGAACACCGAUGGCGAAGGCAGAUCUCUGGGCCGUAACUGACGCUGAGGAGCGAAAGCAUGGGGAGCGAACAGGAUUAGAAACCCUAGUAGUCC